UCUGAACUCUGUGGGACACUCAUCUCUGU
rnacentral:piRNA from 1 species